GAGCAAGAGCGUCUAUGAUAAAAAUGGCGCAAAUUGCAUUGAAGGUUGGCAAUAUAAAUAAGCGAUUCUCCGUGCCUAUUCUUAUUUCACUUUUGAUUAAGGCCUCGAACAAGUCGCUACAUU